GGAACGGGUGAGUAACGCGUGAGGAACCUGCCUCAAAGAGGGGGACAACAGUUGGAAACGACUGCUAAUACCGCAUAAGCCCACGGCUCGGCAUCGAGCAGAGGGAAAAGGAGCAAUCCGCUUUGAGAUGGCCUCGCGUCCGAUUAGCUAGUUGGUGAGGUAAUGGCCCACCAAGGCGACGAUCGGUAGCCGGACUGAGAGGUUGAACGGCCACAUUGGGACUGAGACACGGCCCAGACUCCUACGGGAGGCAGCAUG
rnacentral:rRNA from 1 species